AUUUGGGGAAUUACCAAACUGACAAAAGACCCACGGUGAAUUCAUGAGUCUUGCGCAGUCUGCCCCUCGCCUGAAAAUAUUAUUGGAUUGUGAUGGUGCGGAAAAAUAAACGUGCAAUACAAGUUGCGGAACCAUUAUCAAAUGAAAACAAGAACUGGAGUACGACUGAAACCAUGAUCAGGGUUACUCACAAAACAACAAAGGUCAUGCUGAAUUUAAUUGCGUUGAAAAAAAUAACCGAAUUGGAUUUUUUUCAACUAAUAAUGUGAUUGCCCAGAACAUCACUCUGGUGCUAUAUUCGGGGAAACAAACGUUAACAGAUUA